GCAGUGGAAGUGAAGGAGCCUAAAUCGACCCCCUUCUUUUUUCUUUGAAAAAAGCAGUAAUGAGUAAGGAGAUUAAACUCUCGAAUGAGACUAAGCAGCUACCGACCGUUCCGACGCGCCCUUGACCUAUUUUGAUUAAGACCAAAAACCUAUCUCUAAAGUGGAGCCUAGUUUAAGCUGUCAAACAAGUGAUGAUUGAAUGA
rnacentral:lncRNA from 1 species